rnacentral:misc_RNA from 1 species
UUUUCGUGGAUACAAAUACAGUAUAAAUAUAAGCAAUUGUUAUAUCGUGACUAGAAUUGUACAUGUGAUAUUUUUUUUCUUUCUUUCUGGUAGAUGGCCAUUGCGCGAUGCAAGCAAAUCAGGACAUCAACGAGUCUCUCCAAAGAUCCACUCCUCUCCAUCCCGUUCCGGUAGAGAUGGAUCUGCAACACAUGAGACGUACAACUCCUUUUUUUGCGGAGGUCGCAUAUCUUCCAACGUCGGAGAUGCUGUCGCCGCAGUUAUGACCCCCUGGACUUCCCC